rnacentral:lncRNA from 1 species
CAAUUCCGAGAUCUUCUCCUCGUUAACACCAGUCACCGAAUUCACACUCCCAUUCACAUUGACAUUCUUCAGUGAACUUGGGUUUUAUAGUCCAAUAAGCAUGAUGAUGAUCAGUGAGAGCGUUGGUUCAUAAGCUAUAUACAGGACGACAUGUCAAUUUAUUUUUCUAAUAAAUUGUUGACUCACACUGACACACUUUAGCACACGACAUUAACGCAUUCAAUUGUAAGAAUAACUCCUAUACAUAUAAAAUUUAUACAGCUCAACACCAUUAGGUGUCAUAUCAAAUUAAUUUUCUUCUCAUGUCUAAAAUAUGAAGAAGAAAAUGAUGAAAUAUACUCUAAUAUAUAAUAUAUAAGAUAAUUAUUCACCAACCACUUUUUUUUUCGCAUUAUUUUAAAAAUACAUAAGUUUUAAUUUUUUUGGCUGAACUCUACUUUAAAGUUAUAUUAUUUUACACCUGUCUACUUUCGUAUUCGAACUGUUAAGAGAACUAACGAAAUAUUGUAUAAAUAAUUUUUUUACCCUAAAUAUAAAAUUAUAUUUUUACUACAAACCGUGAAACAAAUUAAAAAGUAAAAAUAAUAAUAUAAAAGAGUUUUUCUUUUUUUUUAAUUUUUAUUUAAAGUCUCUCACUUUAAUAAUAAUAAUGACGACCCGCUAACCCCAACCUCCAACCCUACAACCAUACAAAACAAAAUCAAACCCAACUUUCACCUACCUUAAACACCAAAUAAAAAAUAAUAAUAAUAAACUCACUGAUUCUUUUAUGGCGGCAUAAGAAAAGACAAAGCAUCUGUAGCUUCUUAAGUUGUACAUAGGAAUAAGCUUCUAACUGUUCCUAGCAUUGCUGCCGAAGAACUCAUCGGAAGCGAAGGAGGAGCUAAAGGUGAGGCUAAGGGUGGCGGAGGAGCAACUGAAGCAAAUGAAGUCAAGGAGGAAAGAGGACUCAAAGGCUAACGCGGGGUGGUGGAGAUCUUCGUGAGCCAUAGCAGCAUGCGGCAGGCGGAGGAGAAACAACUGCUCCAGCAAAUCAAUGCGGCGACAGAGGAGAUGGCGAGCUUGAGAUCGAAGAUUGAGGAAUUGGAGAGGGAGAAGCUGCAGUUUGAUAAGAGAUUUCAAGAAUUGGAAGAUAUGAUCGGGUUUAUGUCAAGGAGAGGUUGUGAGUUUGAGGUGGAGCAACAGAUUCUAAACGUCAUUUUAAAGCGCAGGUGAAAUUAUCAUUUUAUCAUUACGACGUCAGUAAAGUUAUAACAGUUUGAAGAUAAAAAAGGUGCAAAAUAAUAUAAUUUUAAGUAGAGUUCAACAAAAAAAAUUAAAAAUUGUGUAUUUUUUAAAAAGUGCAGGUAGUUCGUGGAUAAUUAUCCUAAUAUAUAUGCCUAAAUGGGAGGAAUGUUAUGAGAACUGUCUUGGCUAGACAACAUAUUAGACUAUUAGCUAACACUAAUAUAACAUUCUAUUGAUGGUUUCCAAAUGAACAAUCUUCCCUCUAGAUUAAUGGUGCCGUGGUGCGUUUACUAAAUUAUAAUCAGAAUGUGUUGGAAUUAAAAUGAAGAAUGGACUGGAAUGAAAAUAAAAAUAAGUUAUUUACUUGGC